rnacentral:lncRNA from 1 species
CGGAACUCCCGCUCCGCGCCCUGCCCGGGAGACCCUCGCCCCCCACGCCGCUCCCCUUCCUUGCUUCCUCCCCCCUACUUGUUUCCUCCCUGCCUGGAAGGGCCGCCGUGCCGCCUGUGCGAGCCCCGAGAGCUGCACGCAGCCCUACCCCUCUCCAGGGCUAUGCCCCUGACAGACAACGUCUCCCCGGCAUGCCGGGGGGAGAAGCUGAGGGGGAGGCCUCUCACCGAGAGGGACCCCGCACGCUGACAGCGGCCCCGGAGAGGCCGAGGCAGCCCCCGCCAGCCUGGCAUCCUCACAGCUACGACACGGUUCUGAGCCCCUGUGCACACACAUGCCGCUCCUCGCCCACGCGCUGACUAAGGAUGCUGUGGGAGGAAGGCUUUGGGUGCGACGGCAGGAGAAAAUAAUAGGCAAUGUUGGGGUUUGCUCGCUGUCUCAGUCAGUGUUGGCAGCAGUAGUACUCCAGCAGCGUGCUGCUGUGGGCUGUGGAGGAAAGGCUGGUGCUAGCAAGCCAGUUCCAAGGCGGUGGCAGCUCUCCUCAAAAGAAGAUAUGGAAAAUUAUUUGGAAUGUGUCUCGAACAGGCUCUCCUUCUGCCUCACACAUCUCCGUGUUCUUCAUAAUCUCAGCAUGUGGCUAGUGGAUGAAGCUGCGUCUCUGAAUCUUAAAGGACAGCAGGCAUACCUGUGCAUUGCUUAGCUUCAAGUGACAUCACAACUGGAUUCCUACAAUUUCUCAUGAAGGAGAAGUUUUCAGCCUUACAGAAGAUCUCCCUCAAAUGAAAUCCUGUAAGCAACAGUUGUUGGUAGCUGCUUUACUGUGAACUAGAAUGAGACCUUUCACCAUUCAAAGUCUUAUUUUUAAGAGGUUCUACCCAGGUGAUACAAAG